AAAAGGUAAAUGACCACAGCCAGCUGGACCGGGGUUUCCCGGACUGCAAGAGCUGUGUGUCUCACACGUCUGCACCACCCGCUGUGCCCAACCACGCCCAGGACAGGACGCACGGCCAACACAGGUCUGCAGAAUAAAAACAAUGCCCACACACGUGGCACAAGAACCUUCGGACAGCCUCUUUCUGCCUUUCACAGUACAGACCAUGCUGCACACAUCCAGAGACACACUCACACACCUUGUUCUUUUACUGGCACACGCCCCGUAAGAACAAGGUGUACAGCCUCAUUCCCCACAACUCUUAAACUUCUUGGCACAUGCACCAUGUAUACAGUUAAACACUAUCCAGCGAACUGCAUCAGGGAUUCAUGAAUGUCCACACAACAAUGUACAGAACAGAAUCACAGACUGCUCAAAAAGGUCUUUCUAUUCGGUUUGGAAACCCACCCCCACCCCACUCCUCCUGGCCUCGCGGGGUGCAGGAGACGGGAC